AUCUGCUCCGAGACAAAGCAACCAUUACUUUGGAAUGCUGGAGGUGUGGGGGAGGGGGAGUCUGCUGCUGUCAGAACUUACAAGACAGCUUGCUGACAUGAUCUCAGCCCCCC